CGAAUUUGCUCUCAACUCUCUUUUGGCUUUCUUUCUCGGGUUUUUGCUGAGCAAUUCUUGAUUGCUUCCCCUGCUCUUUGGGCAAGGGAAGGCUUCUCUGUUUUGCUCCGACUGGACUCAUGGCUUCCCUUUCCAUCCCAGGAUGGAUGUUGAUCAUUUUGUUUUCGGUUUUGGCUUGCUGAUCAUGGUGGGGGAUAUGAACAACUGAUCACCCAUGCAACUGCUAGAGCUAAGGUGGGGCUCUGUUAGAGCUUUUGUGAAAUUCAGGUUAGAGGCAUCCACUGCUUUGAUGGGAGGGGUAUAUGCAUGUUGAUGUCGGGACCUUUAGGGUUAUAGCAUUACACUUCAGCUAAAGGUGUUCCCCAAUGGCUAAAUGAGAUUGAGAUUACAUAAGAGCUCUUCCACUUCUCUCUUCUAGCCAUGCAUACGGGCUUGAACUUGCUAGAGAUGGUGGUCUACAGCU
rnacentral:misc_RNA from 1 species